UGGGGAAUAUUGCACAAUGGGCGCAAGCCUGAUGCAGCCAUGCCGCGUGUGUGAAGAAGGCCUUCGGGUUGUAAAGUACUUUCAGUCGGGAGGAAGGUGGUAAGGUUAAUAACCUUAUCAAUUGACGUUACCGACAGAAGAAGCACCGGCUAACUCCGUGCCAGCAGCCGCGGUAAUACGGAGGGUGCAAGCGUUAAUCGGAAUUACUGGGCGUAAAGCGCACGCAGGCGGUUGAUUGAGUCAGAUGUGAAAUCCCCGGGCUUAAACCGGGAAUUGCAUCUGAUACUGGUCAGCUAGAGUCUUGUAGAGGGGGGUAGAAUUCCAUGUGUAGCGGGGAAAUGCGUAGAGAUGUGGAGGAAUACCGGUGGCGAAGGCGGCCCCAUGGACGAAGACUGACGCUCAGGUGCGAAAGCGUGGGGAGCAAACAGG
rnacentral:rRNA from 1 species